rnacentral:miRNA from 1 species
GUUACCAAGCUACCUAACCGGG